rnacentral:lncRNA from 1 species
GUGUCAGCCGAACGGUUUUACUUUCCCUUUUUAGGUGCACGUGGUAAUUCAGUUCUGCGCAUACAGAACAUCUAUCACAGGCGUCUGAUUCCAACCGCAUAUAUUAUAGAUUCUACAUCAGAAGUUAUUCAACGUCAUAAGUAAUCGUAUGAUCAGGCUUAAGCUUUUUCUAGGGCUAUUGCGUAUAAAGGAGCCUUCACGAGCUCUUGCUCAACAUGCAGCGAUUACCUCCUGGACAGGCAGAGAAUUUCACAGCCACUAGAUGAUCAAGAUGGUCUACGCCAUUGUGAUGUUCACAACGAUACUCAUUUCUAUAGUUAAGCAAGCUCAAUCCGAUA